rnacentral:rRNA from 1 species
CCUACGGGAGGCAGCAGUGGGGGAUAUUGCACAAUGGAGGAAACCCUGAUGCAGCGACGCCGCGUGUGGGAAGACGGUCCUCUGGAUUGUAAACCACUGUCCCCAGGGACGAAGAUGACGGUACCUGGGGAGGAAGCUCCGGCUAACUACGUGCCAGCAGCCGCGGUAAUACGUAGGGAGCGAGCGUUGUCCGAAAUUACGGGGUGUAAGGGGAGCGUAGGCGGGGAUGCAAGUUGGGGGUCAAAACUACCGGCUCAACUGGUAGUCGCACUCAAAACUGGAGCUCUUGAGUGAAGUAGAGGCAGGCGGAAUUCCUAGUGUAGCGGUGAAAUGCGUAGAUAUUAGGAGGAACACCAGUGGCGAAGGCGGCCUGCUGGGCUUUUACUGACGCUGAGGCUCGAAAGUGUGGGGAGCAAACAGGAUUAGAUACCCGUGUAGUC